rnacentral:rRNA from 1 species
CGUCCUACGGGAGGCAGCAGUAGGGAAUCUUCCACAAUGGACGAAAGUCUGAUGGAGCAACGCCGCGUGAGUGAAGAAGGGUUUCGGCUCGUAAAGCUCUGUUGGUAGUGAAGAAAGAUAGAGGUAGUAACUGGCCUUUAUUUGACGGUAAUUACUUAGAAAGUCACGGCUAACUACGUGCCAGCAGCCGCGGUAAUACGUAGGUGGCAAGCGUUGUCCGGAUUUAUUGGGCGUAAAGCGAGUGCAGGCGGUUCCAUAAGGAUGAUGUGAAAACCUUCGGCUCAACC